rnacentral:lncRNA from 1 species
UUAUCAACUCCAUGAUUUUUAAGAUCUGAGAUUGCCGAAAUAGCCGCUCCCCACAAACGCACUGCAGCCUGCUCCACUCCUUGUUUUCAACUCCGCAGAGUUCGAGCGUUCGGUGCCUCUCCGUAGACUCCGGGAUCGGAGUUGAGGAGUGGAGAGAAUCCGAACACGCUCUUAGGGUGCUGUUUGGAUUCUUGAGAUGCUUUGUUAGUAAAAAGAAAAUGUUACAUCAGGAAACAUGUACCAUGGAAUAGGAAUCAAAAGCAAGGUAUUAUCACAACAUCUUAGUUUUUUAUUCAAGUGCACAACCAUAUAUUUUGAGGUAAAGCUAUUAGUUCUUGCCAAAUCGUCAAUUCAAUUUUGAAUGGUUCUAACUAUUAUACUUCAUGUUGUAGGCGGUUGUGGCUGUGACUACCUCGCUUGCGCUAGAAAGGUUAGCUUCUUUAAUAUGCUUUAGCUCAGAGCUGUCAUGUUUCUGCUUGUUUUUGUCCUUAGUUUUUGUGUUUUUAUUCUUGAUUCGGGGUUUAGAAUGCAGGGGGUUUGCUGACUCCAUAUUUGGGAUGUCGGUGGUNN